rnacentral:lncRNA from 1 species
AUCAACAAAGUAUUGGACAAAAAUGAAUGAGAAGGGGCGAAAUGUAUGGUAGGCAAAGCAUAUACUAGUGCACGAGAAGGAUUGAGGGCACUUCAGGACAAGAAUAUGUUGUGUCAAAGUUUGUCCCAUAGUUUGUCUCAAACCAAUCAUAUUAUUUCAUGUCACUUAAAAAAAAUAUUCAUGAUUUUAUCAAUUUUUGUUUCACUGUAAUUGGUUAGGAACAGGUUUCGGGAUAAGUUUCGGGACAAUAGAUCCCCAUCCCAACCUUGUCCCACUUUUUUUAACCAUGGCCAUAUCAAUACACAAGAGGUCCUUGUCAUCAACCAAUAUAGAGUGUGUGGCGCUCCUUGUGAAGGAUCUAUCAUCAAACUUAUGAUUUUGCUUACCUUAUUAUGAAUUGAAUGCAUCCAGCUAAUAGAACUAAUUUUCUUUAUUUUUGUUCUUGACUAAGGCUGUUUCUUUAUUGGGUUGAAAAAGAAGUUGUGCCUGACGUCAAGUUUUGGUGUUAUGGUCUGGAUUAUUGUGUGCA